AGUGAACGCUGGCGGUAGGCCUAACACAUGCAAGUCGAACGGCAGCACAGUAAUAGCUUGCUCUUACGGGUGGCGAGUGGCGGACGGGUGAGGAAUACAUCGGAAUCUACUUUUUCGUGGGGGAUAACGUAGGGAAACUUACGCUAAUACCGCAUACGACCUACGGGUGAAAGCAGGGGAUCUUCGGACCUUGCGCGAUUGAAUGAGCCGAUGUCGGAUUAGCUAGUUGGCGGGGUAAAGGCCCACCAAGGCGACGAUCCGUAGCUGGUCUGAGAGGAUGAUCAGCCACACUGGAACUGAGACACGGUCCAGACUCCUACGGGAGGCAGCAGUGGGGAAUAUUGGACAAUGGGCGCAAGCCUGCUCCAGCCAUACCGCGUGGGUGAAGAAGGCCUUCGGGUUGUAAAGCCCUUUUGUUGGGAAAGAAAAGCAGCAGGUUAAUACCCCGCUGUUCUGACGGUACCCAAAGAAUAAGCACCGGCUAACUUCGUG
rnacentral:rRNA from 1 species